CCUACGGGUGGCUGCAGUGAGGAAUAUUGGUCAAUGGACGCAAGUCUGAACCAGCCAUGCAGCGUGCAGGAAGACGGCUCUAUGAGUUGUAAACUGCUUUUGUACGAGGGUAAACGCAGAUACGAGUAUCUGUCUGAAAGUAUCCUACGAAUAAGGAACGGCUAACUCCGUGCCAGCAGCCGCGGUAAUACGGAGGAUUCAAGCGUUAUACGGAUUUAUUGGGUGUAAAGGGUGCGUAGGUGGGCAGAUAGGUUAGAUGGGAAAGCCGGGGUCUCAACUUCGGAAUUGCCUUGGAUACUGGUCGGCUAGAGAGUAGUUGAGGUAGGCGGAAUGUAUGGUGUAGCGGUGAAAUGCUUAGAGAUCAUACAGAACACCGAUUGCGAAGGCAGCUUACCAAGCUACUACUGACGUUGAGGCUCGAAAGCGUGGGGAGCAAACAGGAUUAGAUACCCGUGUAGUC
rnacentral:rRNA from 1 species